rnacentral:rRNA from 1 species
CACGUAGGGGACGAGCGUUGUCCGGAUUCAUUGGGCGUAAAGCGCGCGUAGGCGGAUUUGUAAGUCAGGGGUGAAAUCCCGGGGCUCAACCUCGGAACUGCCUUUGAUACUGCAAAUCUCGAGUCCGGAAGAGGUGAGUGGAAUUCCUAGUGUAGAGGUGAAAUUCGUAGAUAUUAGGAAGAACACCAGUGGCGAAGGCGGCUCACUGGUCCGGUACUGACGCUGAGGUGCGAAAGCGUGGGGAGCAAACAGG